rnacentral:tRNA from 1 species
GAAACAGUAGUUUAACCGGAAAAACAUUCGACUAAGCGGAAGGUUACAGGUUCGAGCCCUGUCUGUUUCU